AUGCUCACUUUGGGAACACAUAUACUAAAAUUGGAAUGAUACAGAGGAGACUAGUGUAUCCCCUGUGCAAGGAUGACACUCAAAGCACACUUGUGAUACUCAAUGAAUAU
ensembl:snRNA U6 U6 spliceosomal RNA